rnacentral:sRNA from 1 species
AAUGAAUUAAAAUUUAUACAACCAAGAAAAUAGGGCUUUGAGAAUUUCUCUACUACAGCCUUAAAAAAAAA